GACGAACGCUGGCGGCGUGCCUAACACAUGCAAGUCGAGCGAGUGAAUCUCCUUCGGGAGUGAAGCUAGCGGCGGACGGGUGAGUAACACGUGGGCAACCUGCCUCAUAGAGGGGAAUAGCCUUUCGAAAGGAAGAUUAAUACCGCAUAAGAUUGUAGCUUCGCAUGAAGUAGCAAUUAAAGGAGCAAUCCGCUAUGAGAUGGGCCCGCGGCGCAUUAGCUAGUUGGUGAGGUAACGGCUCACCAAGGCGACGAUGCGUAGACGACCUGAGAGGGUGAUCGGCCACAUUGGGACUGAGACACGGCCCAGACUCCUACGGGAGGCAGCAGUGGGGAAUAUUGCACAAUGGGGGAAACCCUGAUGCAGCAACGCCGCGUGAGUGAUGACGGCCUUCGGGUUGUAAAGCUCUGUCUUCAGGGACGAUAAUGACGGUACCUGAGGAGGAAGCCACGGCUAACUACGUGCCAGCCGCCGCGGUAAGAC
rnacentral:rRNA from 1 species